rnacentral:rRNA from 1 species
AAUGAACGCUGGCGGCAUGCCUAAUACAUGCAAGUCGAACGAACACACGGGGAGCUUUCGCCUCUGACGGUAGCGGCUGACGGAUGAGUAACACGUGGAUAGCCUACCUAUAAGACUGGGAUAAUUUCGUGGGACAGGGUCUACUACCGGAUAAUAUAUUGAACCGCAUUGUUCAAGAGUUAAAGACGCUUUUUGUGUCACUUAGAGCUGAUUCCGGGCCGCAUUAGUUAGUUGGUAAGGUAACGGCUUAGCAAGGCAACGAUGCGGAGCCGACCUGAGAGGGUGAUCGGCCACACUGGAACUGAGAAACGGUCAAGACUCCUACGGGAGGAAGCAGUAGGGAAUCUUACGCAAUGGGCGAAAGCCUGACGGAGCAAAGCCGCGUGAGUGAUGAAGGCCUUCGGAUUGUAAAGCCCUGUUAUUAGGGAAGAAAAAAAGCGUAUUUAACCAUGAACGUAUUGACGGUACCUAAAGAGAAAGCACCGGCUAACUACGUG